UCCUGGCUCAGAUUGAACGCUGGCGGCAGGCCUAAUACAUGCAAGUCGAACGGUAACAUAGGAAAAGCUUGCUUUCCUGAUGACGAGUGGCGGACGGGUGAGUAAUAUUGGGAAGCUACCUGAUAGAGGGGGACGAACAGUUGGAAACGACUGCUAAUACCGCAUACAGCCUGAGGGCGAAAGCAGCGAUGCGCUAUCAGAUGCGCCCAAAUGGGAUUAGCUAGUAGGUGAGGUAAAGGCUCACCUAGGCGACGAUCUCUAGCUGGUCUGAGAGGAUGAUCAGCCACAUUGGGACUGAGACACGGCCCAGACUCCUACGGGAGGCAGCAGUAGGGAAUAUUGCACAAUGGAGGAAACUCUGAUGCCAGCCAUGCCGCGUGUGUGAAGAAGGCCUUCGGGUUGUAAAGCACUUUCGGAGGGGAGGAGAAUGACGUUACCCUCAGAAGAAGCACCGGCUAACUCCGUGCCAGCAGCUGC
rnacentral:rRNA from 1 species